UACGUAGGGUGCGAGCGUUAAUCGGAAUUACUGGGCGUAAAGGGCGCGUAGGCGGCCUUCUAAGUCGAACGUGAAAUCCCCGGGCUCAACCCGGGAACUGCGUCCGAUACUGGAAGGCUUGAAUCCGGGAGAGGGAUGUGGAAUUCCAGGUGUAGCGGUGAAAUGCGUAGAGAUCCGGAGGAACACCAGCGGCGAAGGCGGCAUCCUGGACCGACAUUGACGCUGAGGAGCGAAAGCUAGGGGAGCAAACGGG
rnacentral:rRNA from 1 species